AAUCAUAAUUUUUCACCGAGUGAUUGCAUUGAGAAACUAGAACUAGAAAACGCGUGAAAUUAAAUUGAAAGCUCUUAUCCCAUGCGUAUUGUUCAUGCAAACUGUCCAACACAUCAACAAGUAAAGAAAGUAAAGAAAAUAUUGAGGGAAAAUAUUUUUCUCUCUUAUUACUUUCUCCAUCAUUUUAUCACACUUAUUAUUCAUUUAUUAU
rnacentral:lncRNA from 1 species